rnacentral:misc_RNA from 1 species
CCUACGGGAGGCUGCAGUGGGGAAUUUUGGACAAUGGGGGCAACCCUGAUCCAGCCAUGCCGCGUGAGUGAAGAAGGCCUUCGGGUUGUAAAGCUCUUUCGGACGGAACGAAACGGUUAGCGUGAAUAUCGCUGACUAAUGACGGUACCGUAAUAAGAAGCACCGGCUAACUACGUGCCAGCAGCCGCGGUAAUACGUAGGGUGCGAGCGUUAAUCGGAAUUACUGGGCGUAAAGCGUGCGCAGGCGGUUCGCCAAGUCAGGUGUGAAAUCCCCGGGCUUAACCUGGGAAUUGCGCUUGAAACUAGCGGGCUUGAGUGUGGCAGAGGGGGGUGGAAUUCCACGUGUAGCAGUGAAAUGCGUAGAGAUGUGGAGGAACACCGAUGGCGAAGGCAGCCCCCUGGGUCAACACUGACGCUCAUGCACGAAAGCGUGGGGAGCAAACAGGAUUAGAUACCCUAGUAGUC